rnacentral:tRNA from 1 species
GGCUCGGUAGCUUAGUUGGUAAAGCACUCAUCUAGCAUAUAGGAGUCGUGGGUUUGAAUCCCACCUUAGCAC